UCUCUCCACAAGCCCACUGCCCACAGGCCACAGCCUCUCUCUCUCUCUCUCGUCACAACCCCUCUCUUUCCUCAGCCUUUGCCACUCGCUGCCAUCGUCCUCUGCCGCUCGAUGCCACCAUUCUCCAAGUGUCUUCCUCUCCACUCUUCUUUUUGUCCUAGCUAUUCUCUGGAAGAUUGUAGAGAAGAUUUUGAUGGUCAAUACUUAGGACUACUAUGCUUCUCCUUCUUCUAUUAGGAAAAUACUUUCAAAGAAAGAGGUCAUGACCGAAUCAAAAGCAUGGAAUCAUUUUGAUAAUUUCAUAAUAUGAAUGCCACCACUGCUACAAUCAAAAGAGUUCUAAUGACAACAAAGAAGAAGCACAUGUGGCAUUUACAACUUUUCUGCCUCAACUAUUAACGUAUGGUGGUUAUAAAUUUGAGGCAACUAUAAAAAGAAUAAUGACUAGAAGAAAGAAGAUCAUGAAAUAUGUUUUUCACUUCACAUCCUUAUUCUAUGUACUACUAUCUCCUGAGAAAUAUGUUUUUCUUUAAUUGUGACAAUAUCAUUAUAUUAUCUGUACACAUAAUUGUUAUUAUCAUACGAUAUGCAAUAAGUAUCAUAUUGUAACCAAAAAGUUAUGUAUCA